rnacentral:rRNA from 1 species
GACGAACGCUGGCGGCGUGCUUAACACAUGCAAGUCGAACGGAAAGGCCCUGCUUUUGUGGGGUGCUCGAGUGGCGAACGGGUGAGUAACACGUGGGUAACCUGCCCUUGACUUUGGGAUAACUUCAGGAAACUGGGGCUAAUACCGGAUAGGAGCUCCUGCUGCAUGGUGGGGGUUGGAAAGUUUCGGCGGUUGGGGAUGGACUCGCGGCUUAUCAGCUUGUUGGUGGGGUAGUGGCUUACCAAGGCUUUGACGGGUGGCCGGCCUGAGAGGGUGACCGGCCACAUUGGGACUGAGAUACGGACCAGACUCCUACGGGAGGCAGCAGUGGGGAAUAUUGCACAAUGGGCGGAAGCCUGAUGCAGCAACGCCGCGUGCGGGAUGACGGCCUUCGGGUUGUAAACCGCUUUCGCCUGUGACGAAGCGUGAGUGACGGUAAUGGGUAAAGAAGCACCGGCUAACUACGUG